rnacentral:rRNA from 1 species
CCUACGGGAGGCAGCAGUGAGGAAUAUUGGUCAAUGGGCGUAAGCCUGAACCAGCCAAGUCGCGUGAGGGAUGAAGGUUCUAUGGAUCGUAAACCUCUUUUAUAAGGGAAUAAAGUGUGGGACGUGUCCUAUUUUGUAUGUACCUUAUGAAUAAGAAUCGGCUAAGUCCGUGCCAGCAGCCGCGGUAAUACGGAGGAUCCGAGCGUUAUCCGGAUUUAUUGGGUUUAAAGGGUGCGUAGGCGGCCUUUUAUGCCAGCGGUGAAAGUCUGUGGCUCAACCAUAGAAUUGCGGUGGAAACUGGGGGGCUUGAGUAUGUGUGAGGCAGGCGGAAUGCGUGGUGUAGCGGUGAAAUGCUUAGAUAUCACGCAGAACCCCGAUUGCGAAGGCAGCCUGCCAAGCCAUGACUGACGCUGAUGCACGAAAGCGUGGGGAUCAAACAGGAUUAGAUACCCUAGUAGUC